rnacentral:misc_RNA from 1 species
GAUCAGUAUUGCGAACAGUAUCGGCGUGAUAUCAUCGCCGGCGCCGGCGUCGGCGGCUGCUCGUCUUGCCUGUUCUAUGACGGUAUUCUCUAGUGCUGAUGUCAAAUCGUCCUAUUCCUCGUCCGUUUGUUCUCUAUCGUCAGUUGUUGUUAAUCCUUUCAACUGCUCGAUUAGAAGAGGGAGAAGAUUGUUUAACGAGGUUCCAGUUAGAUCAGAUUCCGGAAC